UUCAGAGGGCACCUUUAACACCCCCUCCGUACGUAGAAAAACAUUCGAGAGACCCAUGGGGUGGUUGCUCUAACCAAAGGGAUAGAAGUAAGCUUCGAACCCAUCCCUUCUAUGUCUGCCCCGGGCCCCACCGAAGUCAGUCCCUCAAUCCAACGUGUGGAGGUAAGGCUGACUUCUUUUGUAAGAGCUGGGGUUGCGAGACUUCAGGUACAGCCCGCUGGAAGCCCUCCUCGAGCUGGGACUAUAUUAGAGUAACAGCCAACUAUUCCCUAGCGUCUUAUGUACCUGGAGGAUUUGACCUAGACGAGUGUACUGACUGGUGCCAUCCGCUCCGUGUCACCUUCACUGAACCAGGGAAGAGAGCUCUGGGAUGGACAAAAGGAACUGAUCCAAGCGCUACUGAGGACUGCUGGCUAUGCCUGUCCUUGGGUCCGCCUUAUUAUGAAGGAAUCGCCUUCAAUGGAGAUUUCAACAGAACCAGCAGCCAUACUUCCUGCUCUUGGGGUACAGGACAAAAACUGACCCUGACUGAAGUAUCCGCGAGGAAUCCAGCUGUUACCCCGCGUAUAUUAUCACCCUGCAUCCAGUUUAGAAGAAAGCUAUGCUGGCCGGCGGUCAAAAAGAGAACCAAUUACUUUAACCCUGGCUGCAUUC
rnacentral:lncRNA from 1 species